UACAGAGGGGGCAAGCGUUGUUCGGAAUUACUGGGCGUAAAGGGCGCGUAGGCGGCCUUCUAAGUCGAACGUGAAAUCCCCGGGCUCAACCCGGGAACUGCGUCGGAUACUGGAUGGCUUGAAUUCGGGAGAGGGAUGGCAGAAUUCCAGGUGUAGCGGUGAAAUGCGCAGAUAUCGGGAGGAACACCAGUAGCGAAGGCGGCACUCUGGGCCGGAACUGACGCUGAGGAGCGAAAGCGUGGGGAGCAAACAGG
rnacentral:rRNA from 1 species